GUGUUGCUAUGCAGUUAAAUAAAGCAGCAAGCUCCCAGCCUGCAGUACUACUCUGAUUCUGGCUCUGACCCUGGGCUUGACUUCCAACUCUGAUUCCUGCUCCAACCAUCUACAUCUUGGCCCCAAUGCUUAAAAGGAGGACAGCCCUGCAGCCUCAGAUGUAUCACAGCAUGUCCAGCUUCUCUGAUUCUCCCAAAACAGUCCAGGCUGUCUUGAGAUUCCUUUAAAUACUAGGAGCAGGCCCUUGCAGUAUGUGCACAUCUUG